AUUGGAGGGGCCGUUCAGAGGUUCCUGGAAAUAGCUCCAUCAUCAGACCGUACCCUAAACCGACACAGGUGGACUGGUAGAGCAUACCAAGGCGCUUGAGAGAACGAUGUUGAAGGAACUCGGCAAAAUACCUCCGUAAGUUCGCGAGAAGGAGGCCCGGGUUCAAGGCAACUUGGAUCCGGGGGCACAAACCAGGGGGUGGCGACUGUUUACUAAAAACACAG
rnacentral:rRNA from 1 species